rnacentral:rRNA from 1 species
GAGUUUGAUCGUGGCUCAGAUUGAACGCUGGCGGCAGGCCUAACACAUGCAAGUCGAGCGGAUGAAGGGAGCUUGCUCCUGGAUUCAGCGGCGGACGGGUGAGUAGUGCCUAGGAAUCUGCCUGGUAGUGGGGAUAACGUCCGGAAACGGGCGCUAAUACCGCAUACGUCCUGAGGGAGAAAGUGGGGGAUCUUCGGACCUCACGCUAUCAGAUGAGCCUAGGUCGGAUUAGCUAGUUGGUGGGGUAAAGGCCUACCAAGGCGACGAUCCGUAACUGGUCUGAGAGGAUGAUCAGUCACACUGGAACUGAGACACGGUCCAGACUCCUACGGGAGGCAGCAGUGGGGAAUAUUGGACAAUGGGCGAAAGCCUGAUCCAGCCAUGCCGCGUGUGUGAAGAAGGUCUUCGGAUUGUAAAGCACUUUAAGUUGGGAGGAAGGGCAGUAAGUUAAUACCUUGCUGUUUUGACGUUACCAACAGAAUAAGCACCGGCUAACUUCGUGCCAGCAGCCG